UACGGGGGGAGCAAGCGUUGUUCGGAUUUACUGGGCGUAAAGGGCGGGUAGGCGGCCACUGCAAGUCGGUUGUGAAAUCUCCGGGCUUAACCCGGAAAGGUCAAUCGAUACUGCAGGGCUAGAGUGCAGAAGGGGCAACUGGAAUUCUCGGUGUAGCGGUGAAAUGCGUAGAUAUCGAGAGGAACACCUGCGGCGAAGGCGGGUUGCUGGGCUGACACUGACGCUGAGGCGCGAAAGCAUGGGGAGCGAACAGG
rnacentral:rRNA from 1 species